rnacentral:rRNA from 1 species
AGGAUGGGAGAGCGGAAUUCUUGGUGUAGCGGUGAAAUGCGUUGAUAUCAAGAGGAACACCGGCGGCGAAGGCGGCUCUCUGGAAUGCAACUGACACUGAGGCACGAAAGCUAGGGGAGCAAACAGGUUUAGAUACCCUGGUAGUCCUAGCUGUAAACGGUGUACACUUGGUGUGGGAGGAAUUAACCCCUCCCGCGCCGAAGCUAACGCGUUAAGUGUACCGCCUGGGAAGUACGGCCGCAAGGCUAAAACUCAAAGAAAUUGACGGGGGCCCGCACAAGCGGAGGAGCAUGUGGCUUAAUUCGAUGCAACGCGAAGAACCUUACCAGGACUUGACAUACAACUGCACGCCCUGCGAAAGCAGGGAAGCCUUCGAGGGUGUUGUACAGGUGCUGCAUGGCUGUCGUCAGUUCGUGCCGUGAGGUGUUGGGUUAAGUCCCGCAACGAACGCAACCCUUGUGUCUAGUUGCCACUCCCGAUGAUGAGUCGGGAAGCACUCUAGACAGACUGCCCUUAUUGGGAGGAAGGUGGGGAUGACGUCAAGUCAGUAUGGCCCUUACGUCCUGGGCUGCACACGUGCUACAAUGGCCGGUACAGAGGGAAGCAAGACCGCGAGGUGGAGCAAAUCCCUUAAAACCGGCCCCAGUUCGGAUUGAAGGCUGCAACUCGCCUUCAUGAAGUUGGAUUCGCUAGUAACAGCGUAUCAGCUACGACGCUGUGAAUACGUUCCCGGGCCUUGUACACACCGCCCGUCACAUCAUGAAAGCCGUCUGCACCCGAAGUCGCCCAAGUCAAC